rnacentral:misc_RNA from 1 species
CCAAUAGCGUAUAUUAAAGUUGUUGCAGUUAAAAAGCUCGUAGUUGAAUUUCGGGGUUAGUAAGUUGGUCAUGCCACUGGUAUGUACUGGCUUUACUGAUUCCUCCUUCUUGUAGAACCGUAAUGCCAUUAAGUUGGUGUUGCGGGGAAACAGGACUGUUACUUUGAAAAAAUGAGAGUGUUUAAAGCAAGCUAACGCUUGAAUACAUUAGCAUGGAAUAAUGAAAUAGGACGUUCGAUCCUAUUUUGUUGGUUUCUAGGAUUGACGUAAUGAUUAAUAGGGAUAGUUGGGGGCAUUAGUAUUCAAUUGUCAGAGGUGAAAUUCUUGGAUUUAUUGAAGACUAACUACUGCGAAAGCAUUUGCCAAGGAUGUUUUCAUUAAUCAAGAACGAAAGUUAGGGGAUCGAAGACGAUCAGAUACCGUCGUAGUCUUAACCAUAAACUAUGCCGACUAGGGAUCGGAUGAUGUUAAUUUUAUAAUGACUCAUUCGGCGCCUUACG